rnacentral:rRNA from 1 species
GACGAACGCUGGCGGCGUGCCUAAUACAUGCAAGUCGAACGCAGGGGGGACGGGGGAGUAACACGUGGGUAACCUCCCAUCAGAGGGGAUAACACUUGGAAACAGGUGCUAAACCGAUACUGAUGGAUGGACCCGCGGUGCAUUAGCAAGUUGGUGAGGUAACGGCUCACCAAGGCCACGAUGCAUAGCGGAGCUGAGAGUGUGAUCGGCCAACUUGUGACUGAGACACGGCCCAGAUUCCUACGGGAGGCAGCAGUAGGGAAUCUGCGGCAAUGGACGAAAGUCUGACCGAGCAACGCCGCGUGAGUGAAGAAGGUUUGCGGAUCGUAAAGCCCUGUUGUUAGAGAAGCGGUAUCUAACCAGAAAGCAACGGCUAACUACGUGCCAGCAGCCGCGGUAAUAC